rnacentral:lncRNA from 1 species
CAAAAUAUGAAAAAAUAAGAGAGAAUCUGGUGGAAUUAGGCUAUCCCUCAAUAACAAUAAAAGCUGAUUUUGAAUGGAAGAAUGAGAGUAUUCAAUUUCCAAACAGUUUUGUCGAAUUAUAAAUGGAAGAAUGAGAGUAGUAUCUCGAAACAGUUUUGAAGAAUUCUGUUUGGAGGAAUGACUGUAGUCAAUUUUGAAACAGUUUUGUUGAAAAUAUGCACUGGAUCUUCCGUUACCUUAAUCUGUUUAGUUUAGAGGAUAUAUUUGGAGCAUUUAAUAUGUUACCUUAAUGUAAGGGAAAUUUAUUUGGUAGUAAAUCAAACAUUUAUUAACAUUCAAAGCUNNN